GACGAACGCUGGCGGCGUGCCUAAUACAUGCAAGUUGAGCGCUGAAGGUUGGUACUUGUACCAACUGGAUGAGCAGCGAACGGGUGAGUAACGCGUGGGGAAUCUGCCUUUGAGCGGGGGACAACAUUUGGAAACGAAUGCUAAUACCGCAUAAAAACUUUAAACACAAGUUUUAAGUUUGAAAGAUGCAAUUGCAUCACUCAAAGAUGAUCCCGCGUUGUAUUAGCUAGUUGGUGAGGUAAAGGCUCACCAAGGCGAUGAUACAUAGCCGACCUGGAAGGGUGGUCGGCCACAUUUGGACUGAGACACGGCCCAAACUCCUUCGGGAGGCAGCAGUAGGGAAUCUUCGGCCAUUGACGGAAGUCUGACCGAGCAACGCCGCGUGAGUGAAGAAGGUUUUCGGAUCGUAAAACUCUGUUGGUAGAGAAGAACGUUGGUGAGAGUGGAAAGCUCAUCAAGUGACGGUAACUACUCAGAAAGGGACGGCUAACUACGUG
rnacentral:rRNA from 1 species